rnacentral:rRNA from 1 species
UGGGGAAUAUUGGGGCAAUGGGCGAAAGCCUGACCCAGCAACGCCGCGUGAGGGAAGAAGGUUUUCGGAUUGUAAACCUCUGUCCUAAGGGACGAAGGAAGUGACGGUACCUUAGGAGGAAGCCCCGGCUAACUACGUGCCAGCAGCCGCGGUAAUACGUAGGGGGCGAGCGUUGUCCGGAAUGACUGGGCGUAAAGGGCGUGUAGGCGGCCGAUUAAGUGUGGAGUGAAAGUCCAUAUUUCAAGUAUGGAAUUGCUUUGCAGACUGGUUGGCUUGAGUGCGGAAGAGGUAAGUGGAAUUCCCAGUGUGGCGGUGAAAUGCGUAGAGAUUGGGAGGAACACCAGUGGCGAAGGCGACUUACUGGGCCGUAACUGACGCUGAGGCGCGAAAGCGUGGGGAGCGAACAGGAUUAGAUACC